GCCUGUCUCAGUUCGGAUUGGAGUCUGCAACUCGACUCCAUGAAGCUGGAUUCGCUAGUAAUCGCGCAUCAGCCAUGGCGCGGUGAAUACGUUCCCGGGCCUUGUACACACCGCCCGUCAAGCCAUGGGAGCCGGGGGUGCCUGAAGUACGUGACCGCGAGGAGCGUCCUAGGGCAAAACUGGUGACUGGGGCUAAGUCGUAACAAGGUAGC
rnacentral:rRNA from 1 species